UACGGAGGGAGCUAGCGUUGUUCGGAAUUACUGGGCGUAAAGCGCGCGUAGGCGGCUUUGUAAGUUAGAGGUGAAAGCCCGGAGCUCAACUCCGGAACUGCCUUUAAAACUGCAUCGCUUGAAUCCAGGAGAGGUGAGUGGAAUUCCGAGUGUAGAGGUAGAAAUUCGUGGAUAUUCGGAGAAACACCAGUGGUCGAAGGCGGCUCACUGGACUGGUAUUGACGCUGAGGUGGCGAAAGCGUGGGGAGCAAACAGG
rnacentral:rRNA from 1 species